rnacentral:rRNA from 1 species
UACGGAGGGUGCAAGCGUUGUUCGGAAUCACUGGGCGUAAAGGGCGCGUAGGCGGCUCAUGAAGGCUGUGGUGAAAGUCCGGGGCUCAACCUCGGAUCGGCCGUGGCGACUCGUGGGCUGGAGGACUGUAGGGGCGGGUGGAAUUCCGGGUGUAGCGGUGGAAUGCGUAGAGAUCCGGAGGAACACCAGUGGCGAAGGCGGCCCGCUGGGCAGUGGCUGACGCUGAGGCGCGACAGCGUGGGGAGCAAACAGG